rnacentral:rRNA from 1 species
ACGUACACUCCUACGGGAGGCAGCAGUGGGGAAUAUUGGACAAUGGGCGCAAGCCUGAUCCAGCCAUGCCGCGUGAGUGAUGAAGGCCCUAGGGUUGUAAAGCUCUUUCACCGGUGAAGAUAAUGACGGUAACCGGAGAAGAAGCCCCGGCUAACUUCGUGCCAGCAGCCGCGGUAAUACGAAGGGGGCUAGCGUUGUUCGGAUUUACUGGGCGUAAAGCGCACGUAGGCGGACUAUUAAGUCAGGGGUGAAAUCCCGGGGCUCAACCCCGGAACUGCCUUUGAUACUGGUAGUCUUGAGUUCGAGAGAGGUGAGUGGAAUUCCGAGUGUAGAGCUGAGAUUCGUAGAUAUUCGGAGGAACACCAGUGGCGAAGGCGGCUCACUGGCUCGAUACUGACGCUGAGGUGCGAAAGCGUGGGGAGCAAACAGGAUUAGAUACCCCUGUAGUCC